rnacentral:lncRNA from 1 species
AAGAGAUGGUUGGAUGGCACCACCGACUUGAUGGACAUAAGUUUGAGCAAGCUCCAGGAGAUGGUGAAGGAUAGGGAAUCCUGGUAUGCUGCAGUCCAUGGAGUCACAAAGAGUUAGACACCACCUAGCGACUGAACAGCAACAAUUUUUUAGGUAAUACUUUUUAAAAAAAUUCUUGUUUGUACUUGUUCACUACCAUUACCUGCAAUUAUGAAUUCCAAAAAGCUUUGAAAAUCCUAUUUUUUCCCCCAUAAGUUUAGUGCAGACUUAUUUUAUUAGAAAUACAAGGUCUACCCUGAAAUGUGACUGUUUCUAGUCUUUAUUUAUCCCAUUUAAUGUGGAUAUUUAUGUGUUUUGCUGCAGAAGUAUUAAUACAAGUUGCUGCCAAGAUCCUGUUUAGUGUAUUACCUAAAGUAUGGUUACACCAUAACAUAUGAAAAAUUCAGAUCCUAAAAUGCAUUUAGUCUCAAGGGGUUCAGAGAAGGGACUGUCAACCUCUUCUUAAGAAGAGAGGGGAGGUGUAUGACUAACGCAGAAUAAGGAAGAAACACAAGCAGUUGUCUACAGAACCUUUCACGCACAUUGAUGUCCCCCCGAUACAGGAUGAUGCGUCUUCGUCUCCAUCGCCUUGAACUCAUACACUCCCAUGUGAUUGAUUUUCUCUGGAAAACAAAAUGUGAGCAGAAGAGAAAAGGUUCACUUCUCCACUUUGUUCUGUGCCCUGGGAGUUGGAUAUCUUCAUCACCAUACCUUACUCUCUAGCUCAAAGUUGGCUCGGCCAGUGGGAGCCUUGGCAGGUAUGAGGGGGAAAGGAGGCUGAGUCCUGUGUGUUCAUCACCCUUCCUGUCUCUUUGAAUGGGUUUAUUCUGAC